rnacentral:misc_RNA from 1 species
UCCGGUUUGUCACCGGCAGUCUCGUUAAAGUGCCCAACUGAAUGAUGGCAAUUAACUACAAGGGUUGCGCUCGUUGCGGGACUUAACCCAACAUCUCACGACACGAGCUGACGACAGCCAUGCAGCACCUGUGUUCCGAUUCCCUUUCGGGCACACCACGAUCUCUCCCGGCUCUCGGACAUGUCAAACCCAGGUAAGGUUCUUCGCGUUGCCUCGAAUUAAACCACACGCUCCGCUGCUUGUGCGGGCCCCCGCCUAUUCCUUUGAGUUUUAACCUUGCGGCCGUAGUCCCCAGGCGGUGAACUUAAUGCGUUAGCUGCGGCACUGAUCGGGUCAAUCCGACCAACACCUAGUUCACAACGUUUAGGGCGUGGACUAC